UAAAAUCACGCCCACAUAUUUCUUCCACUUUCCUGUCUUCCUUACUUCUCUUUCUUCUCCAUUUUCCCUUCCCUCUUCGUCUCCGGUUGUCUUCCUUGGUUUUGUUCUGUCGCCCCCUCCCUGUAACCACCAUCCUCGAUCACCACCUUUUCUUCUCACAUAGACAUUGUCACUCGUUUUGCCAAUUGUGAAGCAACCGGCUUUCUCUUCCCCACACCUUACUCAGCACCAACACCACUGUCUCCUCCUCUUUUCCUUUCCCUUUCUCGUUCCACCUCCCACAUUUUCCUUUGUUAUCCAUUCUUUGCUUUUUUUACGGCGAAUUUCACUGUAGUGGCUUGCCUUGUGUUUUUGCGGUUUCACGCAAAAUGUACCUGCCGAACACGAACUCCUCUUCGCAGAUGAUGCAGUUUCCAUCUAACCAAUCUCAGCAGCAGUUUUCUGCCAUUUCGUCCUACACCCCUCAGCAGCAGUUUAUCGUUCAGCACCCACAACAGCAGGGUGUGUACCAGGCGCAGAAUCCGCAGCUGGUUCCGAUGAACAUACCGUCGCAGCCGAACCAGCAGUACGUUGGUGGGCCGCCGGGCACGAUCUACGAAGGCGGCGUCCAGGGAUCGAUGAACCAGUCAUCUCCUGACCAAAACGCUCUUCGCCACAACAGGACGCAGAUGGUUCCCGUCCCCUCAAACGACGAGCGAUACCGAAAGCAGCUGAUUGUGAACUAUCUCGCCCAGGACGUCACCAGCGCCGACCUGCACACUCUCUUCGCCCGCUUUGGCCCCCUCGACGGCGCACGCAUCAUCUUCGAUCGCCAGACCAGCAUGCCUCGCGGCUACGGCUUUGUUUACUUCCGCUACCCCGACAGCGCCAAGCAGGCUGUGGACACCAUGAACGGCUACGAGUUUCACGGAAAGCGCCUUAAGGUCGGGUACUCGACCAACCCACUCAACAUCAUCUCCAGUGCAUCCUCGAAUCAAUACCCCGCCGGGCAGGUCAAGUAACGAGAGCGCCAGUGUGUCUGUGCACGUGUGCGGGUGCCCUUGGUCGGGUGAUGAAACGCACUUCCACGCAUCACCUCGCUGUGCAGAUCCUUCAGCUCUUCUUUCUUGUGCUUCCUCUCGUAUUCGUGACCGCCUCUCACCUCCACGCAUCGCACACAGGAAAAAAAAGCUGAUGUCUUCAAUGACGGCAAAAGGCGUGCGUUUGCGUGAAUGCAUGUACGUUCGCAUGUCUGUAUGUGUUUCAUGUUUUCUUUUUCUUUAUAGUGCCGUGUGAACAACCUGCUCGAGCGCAAGCUGCUUUUCUUUUUUUACCGUGUCUUGUUUCUUCCUUUCAUGUGGGCUGGCAUGUGAAUGUUUCGUCACACGCUCUCACUGUGCUUGCUUCUCCUGCCUCUUUUAUUUGUUUGUUUUCGCCUAUUUUUUGUUCGUUUUCUUACCCCCCCCCUUUGUUGUCUUUGAAGUGCCUUUUUUUUCCGUUCUCCUCUGAUCUUCAUUUUACCCUUUCUCUCUCCUUGUGCGUCGUCGUCGGAGUAUUUCUAAUUCCUUUUCCUAUUCCUGUAUUCGCUAGCACAUCUCUUCCUUUCUCUCGCCUCACCCCCACAUCUUUAUUUGUAUACACAUGCAUGUUUGUUUAUAUAUAUGAUGCUCUAUUCGAUUAGCCUUGCUGUCCGUGCGCGUGUGUGUCUCGUUGUCCCUUCGCCACCAUUGCUCUUCUCCCGCUUUUUUGGUCAUGCCCUUCUUUUCAUUCCCUGUUUCCGCUUUUCCCCUGAUUUCGUUUUUUUUGUACCCCUCUUUCCAGCAGUCCUUCUUAAACGAGAAGCGACCUUCUCUUUUUUUUUUAAUCCCUCUUCUCUCUGCCACUUCUUUUUCUUCUCUUGGCAGACUUCCCUCUUCGCACACCGUUUGCGUCUGUUUCGGCGCGCGCGCGCGUCCGCGUCUUUUCUCUUUGGUUGCUGUUUCUCCUCCUAUUUCAGCUUCUCUCCUUGAUUCCUUUUCCCACUGUUUUUCUUCCUCUCCUGGUUUGGUCUGCCCCUCUCCUUUUUUCGUUUCUGUGCGUUGACGGAUCCCCGUUGCUCGCUUUUAUAGGUUUUGUUUUCGCUUUCUCUCCUCCAUCCGUUUUCUUUUUUUUUGCCUUGUGCUUGCCCGUUGCUGUAUUUUGGCUCAUUCUCUUUUCUCUCUCUUUUUCUCUUUACUGCUUUGAGAUAUCAUCGGAGCAAAACAGGAAGGUAGGCGAGGUUUUUUACGGCUUGUGUGUCUUCGUUGUGCAUGAGUGACAUCCAAAUUUCGGUUUUUUAAAGUAUGUUUUUUUUUGGUGUUUUUUUUUGUGGUUGCUCGUCUCUCUGUCUGCCCAUGCAUGUGUCUCUAUGUGUCUCCUGUCUGUUUCCCGUUUUCGUUCCUCCCCACUUCUCUGAUGAACGUCGUCUUGUGCUCGUUCCCAUUUUUUUCUCAGACCCAGAUAAACAUUUCCUUUCCCUCUCUCGUCGUCCUCCCUAACGUACUGCGGUUGUGUGAGGUUGUUUUUCCGUUUUUUUUUGCUUUGGUGUUUUCCCUCUUUUCCGUUCUCUUCCCCCCUAGUCGUUUCCGUGCUUGUGUAGGUAUGUGUGUGUCUAUGGCUCUUGCACCGUGAACCUUGUGACGAGAACCGCACAGGAAAACACACAAAGAAGGAAACACUCUCUUUUUGCAUGUUCCAUAGCUUAGAGGUGUCCCCCACAACGAUGGUGAGCUUUGUUCUUUUGUGGAGCGUCGUGCUGGGUUGACGGCGGCACAACGACCAAAGUGUGAUUCACGUAUGUCGCUCAUGCAAAGAGAGCGGAGGUAAAGGUACGGUGUUCAUCCUCUUUUUUCUUACACUAGACCUCAACAUUCCCCAUUCAUACGUGUCUUUUUUUUUCCUUGUCUGUGUGUGUGUUUGCAUAUGUGUACUUCUCUCUCUUUGUUUCUCUUUCUUUUACGUGGUCGACUUCUUUACCCCCCCCCCCCCCACCCCACCCCGACCUACUUUCUUCCCUCUUGCUUGUGUGUUUAACUUUACAUGGUUGAAGGCGAAACGCCGUUCGGUCCUCACGCGGGAAUACAUAUGCACAAGGGAUACAGAAGGCGUCGGCACGGAAAAAGGCUUAUAUACGAUUCAUUGACGUCAUCUCUUUUCCUUUCUCCUGUGAAGAUUAAUAGUUACGGAGCUUGUCACGCUUUGCUCCUUUUUUUUGUUUGUGGAUUAGCUGCAUCUGUGUGUAUGCAUGAUUGCGCGCUUGCGCUCGUGGAUGCAUCUCCAUGCAUUUUCCUGCGAUUAUCGUCUUGUGAAUCGCUCUGUUUUGUAAAUUGCGUUUUCUCUGUUUUCUCCGGCGUUUCCAUCGUUUUUUUUUUCCUGUGCGAUCCUUGUCCUCCUUAACGUUUCGUUGAAGCUGCAUCCUCCUCCUUCCCCCCCGAACAAAAGAAAACAUAGACAUCGCUAUCAACGCAGCAACACAAGCAACAAGCAAACAAACCAGAAAGCACUUUUUUCCCUCUUGACAUGCAACGGUCGACUAUGUGUGGAUAAUCUCGGCGCAUUUUCACCUUCUUUUCCUGCCCUCUUUCUUGCAACUCUGGAUCACGCGUCCGCUCCUGGUUGUUGGUCAAUGUUCCGUGCGUUGUACGUGCCUGUGCAUUAUCAG
rnacentral:misc_RNA from 1 species